rnacentral:tRNA from 1 species
GCCCCGGUGGUGUAGUCCGGACUAUCAUACUGCCCUUUCGAGGCGGUGACCCGGGUUCGAAUAGUUUCGCUUGAGAAACGAACGAGAGCGGAGCUCGACUUUCCCGGCCGGGGCA